AGGAAACUGCAGGAUGAUCUGGGCAGCCUUGGCAGAGCGGCAUGAUGCCUGGUGUAGUUUCUUCAGGCUAGAAGCAGAAGUCUUAUCAGGGGCCUCCCGAUUUCUACUUGGCUGUAGGCCCAGUGGAUCAGGGACCACUUGGUCCAGUGGAUUGGUUCAGGGAAUCAAUAGUUUCCUUUAGGCCUAGUGUAGCUAGAGUUUUCUUGCCUGGCCCACAGUCAGGACAAAUCUCUGUCACCCGCCAGUCUCAUAGCCGCUCAGACGCAACCAAGUAAACACAGAGACUUGUAUUGCUUACAAACUGUAUGGCUGUGGUAGGCUUCUUGCUAACUGUUCUUAUAUCUUAAAUUAAUCCAUUUCUAUAAAUCUAUACCUUGCCACGUGGCUCGUGGCUUACCGGCAUCUUCACAUGCUGCUUGUCAUGGCAGCAGCUGGCAGUGCCUCCCCACUCCUUCCUGUUCUCUCAAUUCUCCUCUCUGUUAGUCUUGCCUAUACUUCCUGCCUGGCUGCUGUGGGAUGGUCUAUAUGUCAAAUGUGUUGCUGAUUGGUCAAUGAAUAAAUCACUGAUUGGUCAGUGGCCAGGCAGGAAGUAUAGGGGGGACUAACAGAGAGGAGAAUGGAGAGAACAGGAAGCUGGGUGAGAGAGACACUGCCAGCCGCCAUCAGGACAAGGAAGAUGUAAAGUACCGGUAAGCCACAAGCCACGUGGCAAGGUAUAGAUGAAUAGAAAUGGAUUAAUUUAAGCUGUAAGAACAGUUAGCAAGAAGCCUGCCACGGCCAUACAGUUUGUAACCAAUAUAAGUCUCUGUGUUUACUUGGUCGGGUCUGAAUGGCUGUGGGACUGGCGGGUGUCAGAGAUUUGUCCUGACUGUGGGCCAGGCAGGAAAACUCUAGCUACACCUGGCCACUGGCCAAUCAGUGUAUUAUUUAUUGACCAAUCAGAGCAACACAUUUGACAUACAGACCAUCCCACAGCAGACCUAGUUCCCUGGAUUCCACUUGUGGAUUCUGUUCUGGAAACGGGGCACACAAGACUUGUCCAGUGGCAACACUCUUUAGUGUUGUGGAAAAUGUCAUUACCUUGUACUUCAGAGAGAUCACCCCCAAGCACAGAGUAAAGAGCUGGAGCCAGGGGAGGAGCCAGGGGAGUUGAGUUGAUUCCCAGCAGAACAGAUGUGUGGGGAGGUUCCCAUUAUCUUCCUCCAUAUCUAACACUUUCUUUCAAAGCAGGCCACAGUUGGUUGUUAUUUUCACUCCGAUGUUCAGAUGCUUCUUUUCUCUUCUGGGCUUCAGAUCUUUAAAUAUAUAGUUAAACAAAUAUGGUGGGGGGAGGGGGGAUGUUUACUAUCUGCCAGGCACUCAUAAAACCAGGACAACUGUAGUCUAGCUCUCACAGAACUCACAGUGGUAGGCACAGGGACACCUGUUUUGUGUGUCAGCCUCAUGCAAGAUCAUGAGCAGAAUUGCUUUAAAGUAAACUGGACUUUUCAGUUCUCCCUUUUUGCUCUUCUUUCGUUGACUGGUGUAAACCUAUCAACUCAGCUUUGAAGAGACUCUCCCGUUGGUCCUGUGAAGGAAUCUGCACGUACCACCGAACUUCAUUCUCCACCCAUCUGUGGUGUUUCUACCCUUUGGGAGUUUUUUCAGAGCCUCUCAUGACCUUGAGGGCACAGGCUUUCUGAUGUAUGGGGUCUUAGUCCUUAAAGAAUGACUUACUGCAAUUCUCUUUUCUGGAACCAUCCCAAGGGAGCCACAUUCUGAAGAUAGGCUUGUUUUUGAGGAAUCUUUGGGGGGCACAUGGAACACCCCAAGGAGGGGAACCUGUAGUGUAGUCACCCUACAGAGUCAUUGACCAGGACCAGAUUAAUCUCCCUGUGCUGGCUAGAACAGGCACAUGCUGCUGUUCACAAUAAUUUACCCACCAGACACUUGGAUUAGGCCUGAAUGUUGUUCCUUUAUCCCACCCUGCUCACCCUGCUGGCCUUUGCUGUGCUUCCUUCUGCCUCCUCAGAGACACUUGGAAUUGUCCCAUGGGGGAAGUCAUCAUCCCCCCACUGAUGACUGCUCACUUUUCAAAGUUCUCACAGCUUUCACCUUGAGACAAAUUCCCUGGUCCUCCAGCUGUGAGAGAAGUUGGAAUUUAUAUAUUUCCAAUGAAGAUUAAUAAUUCAUUAGAUGCUUAAGUGGAAAAGCAAAGUACCAAUUAAUCAGGCCUCCACUCAGACACACUUCCCAGCCACAAGUCUGUGGGCAUUGGCCAUGCUUUACACUGUCAUCCCAGGAAGUAGGUCAGCGCUGCAGAAAAACAGCCUCUUGUGCAUUAGCAUCUGUUCUCUCUAAUCGCUGUACGCAGCUCUGGGUCUUACUAUAGUCUUUAUUAGUUGUCCCAGCUGGGAUUUAUGUUGCCAGGAAUAAAGGACCAAGUGUGGGAGGAGUUAUCCAUGAAAGAUCCAGGUCAUGUAGUACAGGGUAGGGGAUUUGGCUGACUCAACUUCCUUGCCCAUAGAGCCUCAGGGUUGUAGCUGAAAGUUUUCUCCUGUGUCCUGCUCGGUCCGCAGCCACUCAGAUCUAAGUAUAUACACACAGGCUUAUGUUAAUUAAAACUGCUUGGCCAUUAGCUCAGGCUAACUAUUGACUAUCUCUUACACUUAAACUCAGCCCAUUUCUGUUAAUCUAUAUGUUGCCAUGUGUUCCGUGGCUCUACCUGUGUGCCAUUACAUGCUGCUCCCUGGGUGGCGGGCUGGUGUCCCCCACCCACCUUCUUCCUGUCUCUCCCUUUGAAUUUCCUGCCUGACUCUAAGCUGCCUUGCCAUAGGCCAAACGGCUUUAUUUAUCAACCAGUCAGAGAAACACAUAUUCUCAGUGUACAGAAAGACGUUCCCCCAUCACAGAGUACCAGGACCUAAAGUAGACUCAGAGGGUGCAUGUCUUAGAACUCUCUCUAGGGCUUGGCACCUAGGAACUAUACCAGGCUCAUGACUCCCCCAAUGCCAGGCAUAGCUCAAUACUAAGAACCUGUACCUGGGGAUCUCAGAGCUCAGACCAGAUCCUAUGUAAAGUUUGUGUUUGGGUAAGGCAGGUUUAUUCUGGGGAUGGAGGGGGAGUUGGGCCAGGCAGGACUUGCCCAGGACUUGUAAGACAAGACUCUCCCACCCAGUCUUGACUUUUAACAGGUACCAUUGAAUGCUCACCCAUUUUCUCCAAAGAGAGAUUUGGUUUUAAUUGGACCCACUGGGUGAAGGUGGAAACUAUGAGGCCUAAUAAGGACAUCACUUUAUGAUGAGGCGUUAGACAGCAGGACCAGCCCAGCCACAGCAUCCCAACUCCUAUGGCUAUUACAAACCUCGUGCUCCUGAAGCCUAAAAUGGUUACUAUUGCCUAUUCACAUGAGUUUGCUCACCCCUGGUAAGCUGGUGCCAGCUUGUUCUGAUGUGUCAUGUGACAAUGGCAGCAUGUGUCUGGGAGCAUGUGUCCUGUCUCAGAGGUGCCAUAUUCCCAAGGUACUGCAGAAUAUAAGGGGUUUCCUGACUUAUUUCUGUGUCUGGAAGGACCUGCUGGCCACACUCCCAAUGUUCUUUUUGCAUCGCUCACCUGUAGCUUGGCUGGGUCCUUCACUUGCUUGUUCAUGUCACUCCACUUGACUGAGUGAGAGGUCACUUUGCUCUCUCACUCAGUCCUGGAGGUUUCACUCAGGGCCUGACUUGCCCAGUGAACUCUACAUUGGGCAGGAAACCUGAGCACAGAAGUCUCAACAACAGGCUGAAAAGAGCCAGUAUAAUUGGACGUUUCCUGUCCCGACUGCCUGGUCCCAAAUAACUAACUCAGAGGCUGAAUAUGAAUUAUAAAUGCUUGGCCAAUAGCUCAGGCUUGUUACUAGCUAAUUCUUACACUUAAAUUAACCCAUAUUUCUAUUUAUGCUUUUCCACGUGGCUCAUGGCUUGUUACCUUUUUUUUAAACAUGUCCUGCUUGCUCGGUGGCUAACUGGCAUCUCUCCUGACUCUGCCCCUUCUUCUCCCAUCAUUCUCUCUGUGUCAGGCUGCCUCACCCAACCUGUUCUUGCCCUAUUAUCGGCCAAUCAGUUUUUUUUAUUAACAAUGAGCAUAAUCCACAGCAAACCAAUGCUUCUGCUUUAAUGAUUUCAUAUUAUUACAGAUUCUCUUUGAAAGAGUUGCUUAAAGAAACGCAAAGAGGCCUGACAAACAGCCAGUUCCCUUGAUGCUAAGGAAAUUCAUAUGUUACAACGAGGAAAGUGAGAGGAGAAGAUGCCAAGCUCAGGAAGGGGUGCCAGUGCCGGGAAGGUGUCUAUAUUGCAAAGAGAUGCUAUGCUGAUUAGUGGUGUGGUCUACAGGUAUGAAGAUGACAA